AGCGCAAUAGCUCAAUUCGGAGAGCGUUAGACUAUAGAUCGAAAGUCCCUGGUUCGAUCCCGGGUUACGCCA
rnacentral:tRNA from 1 species